rnacentral:lncRNA from 1 species
GAAACAUAGCAAUUCAACAUUUGUUUAGAGUAGAAUAUUGGAAUCUUUUAUAUUUGACUUUCAAUAUCUUAUUAUGAUUGAAGCGCCACAUUUUCUUCCAAUUUUUAUUUAACAUCUCGUCAUUUAUUUUAAUUUUCAUAUGUGUAUUCAGCUAGGCUUCCGAAGCUAAUCUAAUCAUGAAAUAAUUGCAAAAUUCAAUCUAGUC